UGUUAAGAGCUCUGUGGGAUGUUGU
rnacentral:piRNA from 1 species